UCUUUGAUACCGGGGUUAAACGUGAGUCCAGUAUACAAUACCUUGUUUGUAAUUAGUCUUGGUUAAAAUCCGUCAUUACUUAAAGCAUUUCGGCUCAUUAGUAGAUAUGUAAAUAGUGUGUACAAUCAAUCAAUGUUAGUGUUAGUAAACCUGUGUUUAUCCUGUUAAUACAUUAAUCAGGUACGUACUUGCUUGUCUACCUCACAAGACUUACAGAGCGGUCGUCGAUUGCUAUAUUUGGAUACCAGGUGUGGUGUUGUAAGUGAAGCACUCACCGACAACGAUAAAUGGGAGCCGGUAGUCAUUCAAAGGCUUCUGUUAAAUCAAACCCUCGUCACCCAAGUGACGAUGGUUCGUUACCGACAUGUGAACCAUGUCAAGAACAAGGUCUAGGUCAUGUGCGUACUUCCGUUUCUUUCUGUGUGCAGUGCAGACAGUUUUGUUGCCAAGUAUGCGCAGAGAAUCACCGGAAGUUCAAAGGCAAGUGAAGUGUAAAGUGAUAUAUAAUGUAAUACAUGGGUGCAGUGAGUGUUGAAUUGUAAUCACACGAUUCAAAAUAAUGGCAAUUUAAUUUAAAAACAAAAUAAUACAAUUUUGUACUUACAGUGAAGUUGGUAACUCACCAUUCAUUCAUAAAUCCUAAAUAUUGCCAUACAUAAUAGACUCACUGAUACAUGUUCUUAUUUAACUCGAUACCAUAAUGUGCUUCUAAAUCAUCAUAUUCAUUUUCUAUUGAACCAGGUUUUUCUAUUUGAAUUACAUUUCCCUUUUCCA